AGAGUUUGAUCCUGGCUCAGGACGAACGCUGGCGGCGUGCUUAACACAUGCAAGUCGAACGGAAAGGCCCUGCUUUUGUGGGGUGCUCGAGUGGCGAACGGGUGAGUAACACGUGAGUAACCUGCCCUUGACUUUGGGAUAACUUCAGGAAACUGGGGCUAAUACCGGAUAGGAGCUCCUGCUGCAUGGUGGGGGUUGGAAAGUUUCGGCGGUUGGGGAUGGACUCGCGGCUUAUCAGCUUGUUGGUGGGGUAGUGGCUUACCAAGGCUUUGACGGGUAGCCGGCCUGAGAGGGUGACCGGCCACAUUGGGACUGAGAUACGGCCCAGACUCCUACGGGAGGCAGCAGUGGGGAAUAUUGCACAAUGGGCGGAAGCCUGAUGCAGCAACGCCGCGUGCGGGAUGACGGCCUUCGGGUUGUAAACCGCUUUCGCCUGUGACGAAGCGUGAGUGACGGUAAUGGGUAAAGAAGCACCGGCUAACUACGUGCCAGCAGCCGCGGUGAUACGUAGGGUGCGAGCGUUGUCCGGAUUUAUUGGGCGUAAAGGGCUCGUAGGUGGUUGAUCGCGUCGGAAGUGUAAUCUUGGGGCUUAACCCUGAGCGUGCUUUCGAUACGGGUUGACUUGAGGAAGGUAGGGGAGAAUGGAAUUCCUGGUGGAGCGGUGGAAUGCGCAGAUAUCAGGAGGAACACCAGUGGCGAAGGCGGUUCUCUGGGCCUUUCCUGACGCUGAGGAGCGAAAGCGUGGGGAGCGAACAGGCUUAGAUACCCUGGUAGUCCACGCUGUAAACGGUGGGUACUAGGUGUGGGGUCCAUUCCACGGGUUCCGUGCCGUAGCUAACGCUUUAAGUACCCCGCCUGGGGAGUACGGCCGCAAGGCUAAAACUCAAAGGAAUUGACGGGGCCCCGCACAAGCGGCGGAGCAUGCGGAUUAAUUCGAUGCAACGCGUAGAACCUUACCUGGGUUUGACAUGGAUCGGGAGUGCUCAGAGAUGGGUGUGCCUCUUUUGGGGUCGGUUCACAGGUGGUGCAUGGCUGUCGUCAGCUCGUGUCGUGAGAUGUUGGGUUAAGUCCCGCAACGAGCGCAACCCUUGU
rnacentral:rRNA from 2 species